UUGGCUACGUCGGGUUGUGAUAACCGCUGAAAGCAUCUAAGCGGGAAGCACGCUUCAAGAUAAGGGUUCCCACAGGAGUGUUCCUGGUAAGGUCCCCGAGAGAUGAUCGGGUUGAUAGGCCAGACGUGGACGCAUCGUAAGGUGUGGAGCUGACUGGUACUAAUAGACCGAGGACUUUCAUUAA
rnacentral:rRNA from 1 species